UACGGGGGGGGCAAGCGUUGUUCGGAAUUACUGGGCGUAAAGGGCUCGUAGGUGGCCAACUAAGUCAGACGUGAAAUCCCUCGGCUUAACCGGGGAACUGCGUCUGAUACUGGAUGGCUUGAGUUUGGGAGAGGGACGCGGAAUUCCAGGUGUAGCGGUGAAAUGCGUAGAUAUCAGGAGGAAUACCUAUGGCGAAAGCAGGUAUCUGGGCCAUCACUGACGCUGAGCUGCGAAAGCUAGGGGAGCAAACAGG
rnacentral:rRNA from 1 species